CUGUGGCACUUGAUUGCCCUGGUGGUGUUUACCUCACAAAUGCUGCCUAAUUCAGGCCAGAGGGAAGGCAGAGCCAGUGAAAAGAGCUCCACGGGCUAGAAGAGGGUGGACCCAGGAAGAGAUGGCCUCCCCCUGUCCCUGACUCAACUGGAGCUCAGUUCACUCUGCUUUGAAGGAGUAGGAGGAGAACACUACUCACAAAAAGGAGGGCAAGAACCGGCUUGUUCACCAUUGUAUUCCUGCACCACAGCAUAAGCACUCAAUCAUUAUGGGUUAAAGGCUGAAAUUCAAAAAGAGAAAGGGAGAUGUUAGACACCUACUGACCAAGGAGGUGCCCUCCAUUCUGCUUAACCACCGCCCAGGCCAGUCAUUUCUCUCCCUGGAAGACUUUGAGUCAUGCACGCGCAAGGAAAAUUAGAGACAGGGUUUCACCAUGUUGGUCUCAAACUCCUGACCUCAAGUGAUCCACCUGCCUCAGCCUCCCAAAGUGCUGGGAUUACAGACGUGAGCCACUGCCACACAGCCGAAUAAAGGACAAGAGUAGCAAAGAGGAUUAUGAGCAGUGCAAUACAAAACAAGGCUGCAACAAAAG
rnacentral:lncRNA from 10 species